UUUCAGAGUACAGGUAUAUUCCUUUGUUUCAUUGACAUGAACAUGGCUUGUAAGUAGAAGGUGACAGUCACCCUUUUCUGUUUUACUAAAGACUGAGUCAUUUCUCUUCUCAUAGGGAUUUUCAGAGCUCCCCAACAGGGCCUCUGUGGUACGGAAUUCACACUGAAAGGAAGGUGACCCAGGACAUGGUGGAUACCGGCAUUCCAACCUGAGGAUCUUCUCUACAGUGAUGCAGGCACGACCCAAGGAUUGCCAUUCUUGAAAUCCUGUGGGAUGUUAACAUCAAAGACUGACAAAGUUUCCAAACAUCACUUCAAUAUUUUCAGAAGGAAGACUCCCACUAAUGAAGUAGACUGAGGG
ensembl:lncRNA